AUAUAUAUGGUAAACGGCGAGCACUCUUAAUUGUUUUAAAUUUCAACAUGGUGUCCUAUACGUCAAGUUUAUUUUUUAUUUUUAUUAUGUUUGCAAUUCAAAUUGCAACUAUUUUUACUGCACCACCUGAUGAGAUGUCAGAAAUUCGUGCAGAGAAUUCGGCACUGAUUGAUGUUAUAAGCGGGAUUAUGAACAUAAGCCUCCUCGGCUAAAGGAAUGCAAUCAUUUUAACCAAUGUGGCACAAUCAAUAAAAU